GAUACUGGGAAAUUGACCAGGGUUAAGUACUAUAAUUAUGCCUUUGUACAGCAGCUUCCCACCCCUUCAGUCCCAAUGCUUACUCUGUGUCCUGUGAGGAAAGCGGAGGGAUCAGCAUGGGUGGCAGACUCUUAGCAUCCUGCCCGCCAUUGUUUUCACUGCUUCAGGGGAACCUGGGCUAAAGUCAGCCCGUCUUGGCAGUACUCGGCUAUGUUGUGGAUUGGUCUUCAGCUGGCUAGGUUACAGUUGCAUUGUUGGGGUCCUCUUCACCAGAUCACUGGAGAUACAAUCACAGUGUUCGUCGGCAGCACCCAGAAUGGUUUCACCAAAGCAGUGAGAUGGAUCAAUCUAAGACGACUAAGCCCUGGCCUUGCAACUGUCGUGUUAACUGUUAGCUUUUGCUGUGUCUGUACAUUAAGGAAGGUCACAAUCUUAGCACAUUAAGAUGGUAACUGUCAGGGUAGUGCUUGGAGGCAGAGGCUGUGCCCAUGUGAGACAUUAAUGGCUGGGUGAGUUCAAUCAGAUACGCCGCCUCCAGUGUCUGCAUAAUGGUAUUUACUAGAUUUUAAAUGGACUGCUGAGAAAGAUGAAAUAUAAUCUCAUGUAUUAUCUCUGUCUUGGAAAAAAAAGAUAAUUAAAUUGUUCUCUUGCUAGCAUAUAUUUUAUUAACCUUUGUGGAGUCAUCUUAAAGAGCAAUGUCCCUGUAGAGUUGAAACCUUUCGCUCAGGUGGAAUGUUACCAAGUGACUCUGUGAGUUCUAGGAAUCCCAUAAUCCUAGGCUCGCUGGAGAGAGGAAAAUGAAAUGUAAAUUUUAUACAACUUAAUUAUUUUCCCCCUUUGUUUGUCUCUACAGAACCUAGAGAAGGUUCUAGUGGAAUUUAAUCACAAGGAGCUGUUCGAUUUCUACAACAAGCUUGAGACCAUACAAGCACAGCUGGAUUCCCUCACAUGAUGUUCUCGAAGACUGGCUUCGCCAUCACAUUCCUGCCACCUCGUCCUUUUGCCUUGAAGAGAAACGAACGUAUAUUUUCAGGAGGACUCGGUGACUUUAUUCUCAGAUAACAUGACUUAUCACUUCUUAAACAAAUAUCAGUGAAGGGAAAUCAUAAUAAGAGCACUGGGGUUCCUAAUAUACCGUCUCUCCUCACGUGAGCCAAGAACAAUUGUUGAGAAAGCCCCUGAAGGAAACCAACAGAGAAUGCCAUAUUGCUUUCUCUGUCGCGCUGCUGCGUCAUCACUUUGCCGCGGUCUUGCUUUCACGGAUCACUGAAGGUCUGUAGGCGGCCGGUGUGACGUGUGCCCUGGCAGAAUAUGGAAGCUUAUAAUUACAUUACUUAAUUAGGGGAGCAGUCCCAGGCCAUCCAGUGUCUCAGCAUUUGUCUUAGAACUCCAUUCUUGCUUGAGGUAUGAUAUAGGAAGGAAAUCUAAAAUGGCGCCAGUACUGUUAUGAGUUAAUUCCAAUGUGAUCCUCUUGCCCUGCCCGAUUGAAUUCUUCUGACUUUAAUGAUUUACUAAUCAUCUAGGUUUAUGUAUAUUUCUACAAAUUAAUAACAGUGCGCUUCACAGUGUGGAGACAGAUUCAGAUCGUGAAUGAAAACACCUGUAAUGAGGACUACAUGGGAAUCUGACAUUUUAAAUCAGAAGCUUUUGCAUUCUCCUUCUGUGGAUAUGUUCAUUGUUAUCAGUCAAUAAAAAUUUUAUACUUUAGAAUUAAA